CCGUCGAUAGCUCAGUAGUUGGUAGAGCGGAGGACUGUAGAUCCUUAGAUCGCUGGUUCGAAUCCGGCUCGACGGA
ensembl:tRNA